rnacentral:rRNA from 1 species
GAUGAACGCUAGCUACAGGCUUAACACAUGCAAGUCGAGGGGAAACGACAUCGAAAGCUUGCUUUUGAUGGGCGUCGACCGGCGCACGGGUGAGUAGCGCGUAUCCAACCUGCCCACCACUUGGGGAUAACCUUGCGAAAGUAAGACUAAUACCCAAUGAUAUCCCACGAAGGCAUCCGAAUGGGAUUAAAGAUUUAUCGGUGAUGGAUGGGGAUGCGUCUGAUUAGCUUGUUGGCGGGGUAACGGCCCACCAAGGCAACGAUCAGUAGGGGUUCUGAGAGGAAGGUCCCCCACAUUGGAACUGAGACACGGUCCAAACUCCUACGGGAGGCAGCAGUGAGGAAUAUUGGUCAAUGGGCGAGAGCCUGAACCAGCCAAGUAGCGUGCAGGAUGACGGCCCUAUGGGUUGUAAACUGCUUUUAUAAGGGAAUAAAGUGAGUCUCGUGAGACUUUUUGCAUGUACCUUAUGAAUAAGGACCGGCUAAUUCCGUGCCAGCAGCCG